rnacentral:lncRNA from 1 species
UUCAAAAUUAGUCCCAAGGCCCACUCGGCCAAUUUCAGAAUUCCAGCACUGCAGCUCCGCCGUGCUCCGGGGACGGCGCUGCUGCCCGCAGCAGCAGUUCACCUCAGGUCAGUCAUUUUCGGCCGAUUUUAUUUCGAUCCUUGCGAGAAAACACGUUAAAGGGUCUCGGUUCGCCGAAAAAAUACAAAAAAUUGAAACGCACCAGUGGGGGAGCUCUUCAGUGUGACAGCUUUUCCCGCUCAAG